UCCAUCCUACGGGGGGCAGCAGUGGGGAAUAUUGCACAAUGGGGGAAACCCUGAUGCAGCGACGCCGCGUGAGUGAAGAAGUAUUUCGGUAUGUAAGGCUCUAUCAGCAGGGAAGAAAAUGACGGUACCUGACUAAGAAGCCCCGGCUAACUACGUGCCAGCAGCCGCGGUAAUACGUAGGGGGCAAGCGUUAUCCGGAUUUACUGGGUGUAAAGGGAGCGUAGACGGCGCGGCAAGUCUGAAGUGAAAGGCAGGGGCUUACCCCCUGACCUGCUUUGGAAACUGCCAUGCU
rnacentral:rRNA from 1 species